CAUAGCAACUGGAGAGUCGCGAAUCUGCCAGUUGUAACAGGCGUUCCUGGUACAAUCCUGGGCUUUGCUUGUUUGGGGCAGCUUUCCUUACCGCCUCCCGCGCCUGGUGCGUGAGUUUGAGAGUCUGGUAAGAAAGCUCCAUUAGACACAGAGUCAGGGACCACGAAGAGAGAAGAGUAGCCCGCCACCAACGGACCUGUGUCUGCUGGAAACCUGACGCUUAACCAGCCCGCCCCCUUCGGGAUUGGCCAGGGCCCAGAGGUCCCAACCAAUCAUCGGCCACGGACGGAUUCUUUAACGAGUCAAUCAAGGUUACACUAAGCGUUUGAUCCAGAGCGUCUGCGCAAUCCCAGUCAAUCAGGAGAGCUGAGAGGAUAAAGCAGCCCCGGCUAUCGAGUAUGAUCUCAUAAUAGAAAUCGGUCUGCAAGAGCCUAUGUGAGGAAUAACAAUGUAAACGUAAAAGUAUCCGUCUCGAAUGCUUGGAAAUGCCCAGCACAUAGCUGUCAGUGGACCUCAGCCGCUAAGCUGGUGGACUCAUAGUCUGAGCCUUCCUCUUUGAUUGUACCGUAUUUAUUACCGCAGUGACCUUCCUUUCUCCCACUUCUCUCCCUUCCUCCUCACAUCUGUUUUGAGCUCCAGAUGGAAGCCAUGCCUUAUGCUUUCCUCCCUUUUCAGUGAAAAUAAAAGCAUCCAUUCAUCGA